rnacentral:tmRNA from 1 species
GGGGGUGUACAGGUUUUGACGGUGUGAUGGGAGUAAAAAUGGCGAGCCGAGGAUGCUAAAUCACCUCGUAAAAUAUCUUUAGCAAUCUGUUAUAAAUGCAGAUACUUUAAAAAAUUUAGUAGCUCGUGUGGACUGGAACGCCUUUGGCGUUACAGCACCAGCAGCUGCUUUAGCCGCCUAAAAACGCGGCUAACGCCUCUCUAGAUCCCGCCAACAGGUCUAGAAUCAGGUGUCAUUAAGUUGGCUACCCAAAGUGUCGGGUCUCCUGGCAAAUUGGGGACAUUUAAAAGGAGUCUAGCUGGGGUACAACCGAGUCUAUGGUUCAAACCUCGGCGAAAAUUUAAUUUUAGACUACGCUCGUAGAAAUUUUUAUGUUCCUGCACUUCCGGACGCUGGGUUCGAUUCCCGCCACCUCCACCA